CUCAACAGCACUGUCCAGGACCGGAAUAUAACCCUGCACAAGUCCUGAGCACAGGAAGAAGGCUAAGAGCUGAAGUCUUUAGUGUGGUACUAGACAUCCCAUCAUGCUUCCCACAUAGGAGACCAGGAGGUAAGCAUUCAACCCCCCAGCUGCCGCCAUAAGUAUGGGCAAGCAGUCACUGCAAACUUUUAACAUUUUGAGAGACCAAGAAAGAAACUGAUCUUUACC
rnacentral:lncRNA from 1 species